rnacentral:rRNA from 1 species
GAUGAACGCUGGCGGCGUGCCUAAUACAUGCAAGUCGAGCGAACGGACGAGAAGCUUGCUUCUCUGAUGUUAGCGGCGGACGGGUGAGUAACACGUGGAUAACCUACCUAUAAGACUGGGAUAACUUCGGGAAACCGGAGCUAAUACCGGAUAAUAUUUUGAACCGCAUGGUUCAAAAGUGAAAGACGGUCUUGCUGUCACUUAUAGAUGGAUCCGCGCUGCAUUAGCUAGUUGGUAAGGUAACGGCUUACCAAGGCAACGAUGCAUAGCCGACCUGUGAGGGUGAUCGGCCACACUGGAACUGGGACACGGUCCAGACUCCUACGGGAGGCAGCAGUAGGGAAUCUUCCGCAAUGGGCGAAAGCCUGACGGAGCAACGCCGCGUGAGUGAUGAAGGUCUUCGGAUCGUAAAACUCUGUUAUUAGGGAAGAACAUAUGUGUAAGUAACUGUGCACAUCUUGACGGUACCUAAUCAGAAAGCCACGGCUAACUACGUG